rnacentral:rRNA from 1 species
CCGGAUUAAUACCGCAUACGCUCUACGGAGGAAAGGGGGGGAUCUUAGGACCUCUCGCUACAGGGGCGGCCGAUGGCAGAUUAGCUAGUUGGUGGGGUAAAGGCCUACCAAGGCGACGAUCUGUAGCUGGUCUGAGAGGACGACCAGCCACACUGGGACUGAGACACGGCCCAGACUCCUACGGGAGGCAGCAGUGGGGAAUUUUGGACAAUGGGCGCAAGCCUGAUCCAGCAAUGCCGCGUGUGUGAAGAAGGCCUUCGGGUUGUAAAGCACUUUUGUCCGGAAAGAAAACUUCCUGGUUAAUACCCGGGGAGGAUGACGGUACCGGAAGAAUAAGCACCGGCUAACUACGUGCCAGCAGCCGCGGUAAUACGUAGGGUGCAAGCGUUAAUCGGAAUUACUGGGCGUAAAGCGUGCGCAGGCGGUUCGCUAAGACAGAUGUGAAAUCCCCGGGCUUAACCUGGGAACUGCAUUUGUGACUGGCGGGCUAGAGUAUGGCAGAGGGGGGUAGAAUUCCACGUGUAGCAGUGAAAUGCGUAGAGAUGUGGAGGAAUACCGAUGGCGAAGGCAGCCCCCUGGGCCAAUACUGACGCUCAUGCACGA